rnacentral:rRNA from 1 species
UGGGGGAUAUUGCACAAUGGGCGAAAGCCUGAUGCAGCGACGCCGCGUGGGGGAUGAAGGCCUUCGGGUUGUAAACUUCUUUUGCUCUGAACAAGGCGCACCAUGGGGUGUGUUGAGUGUAGGGGUUGAUUAGCGCCGGCUAACUACGUGCCAGCAGCCGCGGUAAUACGUAGGGCGCGAGCGUUGUCCGGAAUUAUUGGGCGUAAAGGGCUUGUAGGUGGCUGGUUGCGUCUGUCGUGAAAGCUCAUGGCUUAACUGUGGGUUUGCGGUGGGUACGGGCUGGCUUGAGUGCAGUAGGGGAGGCUGGAAUUCCUGGUGUAGCGGUGGAAUGCGCAGAUAUCAGGAGGACUACCGGUGGCGAAGGCGGGUCUCUGGGCUGUUACUGACACUGAGGAGCGAAAGCAUGGGGAGCGAACAGG